CCUGACAAUCCUGAGAUCUUGCAUCUUGUCUAUUUCAGGUCAAAGCUUCUCAGAUGACCAAGAUGGUGCUGCAGAUGGUGCUGAGGAUGGAGAACCCACCAAGCCCCGCUAGGAGCCACCUAGACUGGAUGCAGAGCAUGGUGAGCUCCCUGCAGGUUCUCUGAGAAGGGGUGGAUGGCAGCCUGCUCCUUGCCUUUGUGCCCUCCAGGCCCCAAAGUCAGGGAACCAAAAGAAGAAAGGGGCCGUAGCUAGGGCAGAGCUCCACUGCAAUGAUUGUUUUAGGGGUAGGAGCCAGGAUUGCCGUCUGUGGACACUGAAAUUUGAAUCUCAUAUACUUUUGUGACAAAACAUUCUUCCUCUUUUGUUCUUCUCCUACCAUCUAAAAAUGUAGAAAACAUUCUUAGCCUAUGAGUUGCACAAAAACAGGCAGUGGCCAGAUUUGGCCCAUAGACCAUAGUUUGCUGACUUCUGCCCUAAAUCAUCCUCCAUUUCUUUCCUUCUGUGUCCUUGUUACUGACAAAGCCACUUUCCCUAAAAUGGGGUCUUUCCCUGUUUGGUGCCAUGAAGCCAAUAUGCAAAACCGAAAGUGAGCCUCAAGCAGUGCAGGCUUUAUUUGGUGGCCAUGGAAUUGAGAAGUGAGAGCUUGGCUCACAAAUCAACUUUUCUGCUCGUGAGACCCAGGAAGUCACAGAUACAGGGCAUCUUUAGUGAAGGGGCUGAGCAUUAAAAGCAAGGGGAGGAGUGGCCAGGUGCAAUGGCUCACUCCCAUAAACCCA
rnacentral:lncRNA from 1 species